CUGGAUGGUAGUGUAUUGGGACUACCCAUGGCAGUCACGGGUAACGGAGAAUUAGGGUUCGAUUUCCGGGGGAGGGGAGCCUGAAGAAAACGGGCUACCCCCAUCCUAAGGAAGGCAGCAGGCGCCGUAAAUUACCCCAAAUCCUGAAUUCAGGGGAGGGUAGUUGACAAGAAAAUAACAACCCUGGGGGAUUUCAUGAUCUUACGGGGAUUGCAAAUGAGAAACAAAUUUAAAUCUCUUUAACGAGUAACAAUUGGGAGGGGCAAAGUCUGGUGCCCAGCAGCCGCGGUAAUUCCAGCUCCCAAUAGCGUAUAUUAAAGUUGUUGCAGUUAAAAAGCUCGUAGUUGAACUUCUGGCGGCGUGCCGGUAAGGCUUCGGUCUGCCGGAUUAGCGUCGUCAUCCGUCUGCAAACCUCGUUCGACCUUCACUGGUUCGGCGAGUUGAGUAGACAAUUUACUUUGAAAAAAUUAGAGUGUUUCAAGCAGGCAAUAGCCCGAAUACUUUAGCAUGGAAUAAUGGAAUAGGACUCUGUCCAUAUAUUUAAAUUGGCUGUGGGCAUGAGUAAUGAUUAAUAGGGACAGUUGAGGGCCAUUAGUAUUUAAUUGUCAGAGGUGAAAUUCUUGGAUUUAUUAAAGACUAACUAAUGCGAAAGCAUUUGCCUAAGGAUGUUUUCUAUUAAUCAAGAACGAAAGUUAGGGGAUCAAAGACGAUCAGAUACCGUC
rnacentral:rRNA from 1 species